rnacentral:ncRNA from 2 species
GGCGGUGGCCGCGACUGGCGAGGGUGGAGGACCACCGGGGAGCGGCCGUGCAGUUCGGAGGAGCGCCGACCGCCUGGGCGCCUCAC